rnacentral:rRNA from 1 species
AUUGAACGCUGGCGGCAUGCCUUACACAUGCAAGUCGAACGGUAACAGGUCUUCGGAUGCUGACGAGUGGCGAACGGGUGAGUAAUACAUCGGAACGUGCCCGAGAGUGGGGGAUAACGAGGCGAAAGCUUUGCCAAUACCGCAUACGAUCUCAGGAUGAAAGCAGGGGACCGCAAGGCCUUGCGCUCACGGAGCGGCCGAUGGCAGAUUAGGUAGUUGGUGGGAUAAAAGCUUACCAAGCCGACGAUCUGUAGCUGGUCUGAGAGGACGACCAGCAACACUGGGACUGAGACACGGCCCAGACUCCUACGGGAGGCAGCAGUGGGGAAUUUUGGACAAUGGGCGCAAGCCUGAUCCAGCCAUGCCGCGUGCAGGAUGAAGGCCUUCGGGUUGUAAACUGCUUUUGUACGGAACGAAAAGACUCUGGUUAAUACCUGGGGUCCAUGACGGUACCGUAAGAAUAAGCACCGGCUAACUACGUGCCAGCCGCCGCAGUAAGAC